AACGAACGCUGGCGGCAUGCCUAAUACAUGCAAGUCGAACGCCUGUAGCAAUACAGGAGUGGCGGACGGGUGCGUAACGCGUGGGAACCUGCCCCUUGGUACGGGACAACUCCGGGAAACCGGGGCUAAUACCGUAUAAGGCCUGAGGGCGAAAGAUUUAUCGCCGAGGGAUGGGCCCGCGUCCGAUUAGGUAGUUGGUGGGGUAACGGCCCACCAAGCCGACGAUCGGUAGCUGGUCUGAGAGGACGGCCAGCCACACUGGGACUGAGACACGGCCCAGACUCCUACGGGAGGCAGCAGUAGGGAAUAUUGGACAAUGGGGGCAACCCUGAUCCAGCAAUGCCGCGUGAGUGAUGAAGGCCUUAGGGUUGUAAAGCUCUUUCGCCGGGGACGAUAAUGACGGUACCCGGAGAAGAAGCCUCGGCUAACUCCGUGCCAGCAGCCGCGGUAACAC
rnacentral:rRNA from 1 species